rnacentral:rRNA from 1 species
UACAGAGGUCUCAAGCGUUGUUCGGAUUCAUUGGGCGUAAAGGGUGCGUAGGCGGCGCGGUAAGUCGGGUGUGAAAUCUUGGAGCUUAACUCCGAAACUGCAUUCGAUACUGCCGUGCUUGAGGACUGGAGAGGAGACUGGAAUUUACGGUGUAGCGGUGAAAUGCGCAGAUAUCGGGAAGAACACCCGUGGCGAAGGCGGUUCUCUGGGACGGUACUGACGGCUGAGACGCGAAAGCGUGGGGAGCGAACAGG